UCGAUUAGAUACCCGUGUAGUCCUAGCCGUAAACGAUACUCGCUAGGUGUCGGCCACGGUGCGACCGUUGUCGGUGCCGUAGGGAAGCCGUGAAGCGAGCCACCUGGGAAGUACGGCCGCAAGGCUGAAACUUAAAGGAAUUGGCGGGGGAGCACCACAACGGGUGGAGCUUGCGGUUUAAUUGGAUUCAACGCCGGAAAUCUUACCGGGACCGACAGCAAUAUGAAGGCCAGGCUGAAGACUUUGCCGGAUUAGCUGAGAGGUGGUGCAUGGCA
rnacentral:rRNA from 2 species